rnacentral:snRNA from 1 species
GUGGUUUAUGGCGAUGGAAAAAUCACACUCGUUAAGGGCAGCACAUACACUAAAAUUGGAACGAUACAGAGAAGAUUAGCAUACCCCCUGCACAAGGAUGACACACGAAUUUGUGAAGCGUUCCAUAUUUUU